rnacentral:rRNA from 1 species
UACGAGGGGGGCAACUGUUGUUCGGAAUCACUGGGCGUAAAGGGAGCGUAGGCGGGUUCUUAAGUAAGGUGUUUAAUCCCGGGGCCCAACCCCGGACCGGCACUUUAAACUGGGAAUCUUGAAUAGUGGAGAGGUCGGUGGAAUUGGGGGUGUAGCGGUGGAAUGCGUAGAGAUCCCCAAGAACACCAGUUGCGAAGGCGGCCGACUGGACACAUAUUGACGCUGAGGCUCGAAAGCAUGGGGAGCAAACAGG